rnacentral:lncRNA from 1 species
CUUGCAACAAGUAAGGACGACACUGGGGAUAGUUCCUAAAGCAGUGCUUCUCCGAGCAACAGUGAAAACAGUGCUUUUAUUGGGCUGGUUAGCUCAGUCAUUGUAUGUACAGGUGGAGUAAAGGCAGCGAAGACACAAUUGCCGAUCAUGCUUCUACACAUGUUGCAUGUAUAGAAAAUGGUGAAUAAGCUCUUCCCUGGGUGGGGAUUUUAGCAGGAUUGUAAGGGGAGUUCACCAAAGUUCAUCUUCACUCAGGCAUUUCUGGAUCUAAAUGUUUUGGUUUUUGUUUUUCUGGGGCUGGGCUUUUUCCUAGAACUUUUCUGAAACAACAAGAAUGCAAGGUGCAACAGUUACAAGUGGGUACUUUUUCACAGUGAGAAGAUAAAGGUCCCAGGAGUUGAGAAGAUUAAGGAACUCCGAGACCAAGUAAUAAAAGGCUCUGCGUGUGGAUGCUGAAGACCUACGGUGCAGUGUGGCAAAACACCCGGAAGGCUAAUUAUCCAAGCAGAGUCACAGAAUGGCCACAGCUCAGUGCAGCCACCAUGUUUAGGGGCUAGUCUUCU